AUCCCGAAAAGCAACGGAUCCUGGGUAGAAAUACUGGCCUAGCGAACCUCAAUAUUGCCAAUUGCAAGUGAUUGAGAUGACAAAAAACUUACCCCAGGGGUAAUCUCUAGCCGGUCGUCAAAAGGCGAGUAUAAUAAAUACAUCAUUGCCGUUUAAUGAGUGGAGAAAAUGGAACGCUGGCGAAUAUCAGAAGAUGAGGAUUUGGAGAAAGAGAAUCUGAAGAAGCCAGAAUCUCUGAAUCGAAGGUACAUUGAACAAUUGUUCGAGGGUACAGAUCGCAUCGCUGAAACAAUGCUAGCUAGCGUAAACAUAGCCUAUCUCGCAGGCAUUACUGAAGAUGCCCACCUUGGCCAAGGUGGAAAAGAAGGAUAUGUCUUUGACAUCGAAUCUAAAUCAGAACGAUGGCUGACUGACAUAGUUAUGCCUGCACUCAAACUUGAGCUUUCUGAGGAAAAGGAAGUUAAAGUCACACGACGUGGUACCAGACCUGAAUAUCGUAUUCAGGUGUGGGAUAAAGAUCUCGUUGAAACCCUUCGAGUACUAUUCGAAAGGCCUGGAAUAGUCCGAUUAUGGAGUAUUCGAAAACAACGAGCAUGGGUUCGAGGACUUGCUGAUGCAGAAGGAUCAGCAACUCGGAACACAGACAAACAACCACAGUUCAGUUUCUACAACAAAGACUUUGAAAAACUCAAGAUUGCAGGCGAAAUCCUUGAGAAAGAUGGUGUCCACUUUGGCUUCUACCUACCACAAGGUAGAGAUGUGUGGCAAAUGUAUCUAACAGGUCGCGAGAAUCUAAAGCGUUUCCUUGAUGGGGAAGCUUCUGGGGUGAGCCAUCCAGAGAAACGUUCACGCUUACUUCAAUACCUUGCCGAGUAGCGCCGACUAGGGACCCUAAACAGAGUUGUCGCGCGCAAGAGUUCAUAUCGACCGCGCGGCUUGCUUCCUCGAUGUCGGCUCUUGGUAUCCUCGGGUUGCAUAAGGCCCGAAGGGUGCGGGUGCUCACCGAUUAAAACCGAACGUGAGCUGGGUUUAGACGGUACGAGAGGAACGCAUUGUCGCGGCCUAUGGUGUAUCCAUUGUCCGAGAGGGCACUGUGGAGUAGCUAAGCCGUAAUGGAUAAACGCUGAAUGCAUCUAAGCGUGAAGCCAGACUCAAAAAUAGACAUCCACUUGCUAGACGAUCUGUAACAGACGAUGGGACUGGCGACAGUAACGUCGAAGUCUAGGAACGAGGACUCUCGUAGAAGACGAGGUAAAUAGGGCGGGGGUGUAAGCACCGAGCUUCGGCGAGGUGUUCAGCUCACCGCUACUAAUGUCCGAGGCGUGCAGAUC
rnacentral:ncRNA from 1 species